GCCGGGGUGGCGGAACUGGUAGACGCUACGGACUUAAAAUCCGUUGACCGUAAGGUCGUGCGGGUUCGAGUCCCGCCCUCGGCA
rnacentral:tRNA from 1 species